rnacentral:rRNA from 1 species
UACGGAGGAUGCAAGCGUUAUCCGGAAUUAUUGGGCGUAAAGCGUCCGUAGGUGGUUUUUCAAGUCUGCUGUCAAAGCGUGGAGCUUAACUCCAUAUCGGCAGUGGAAACUGGGAGACUAGAGUGCGAUAGGGGUAACGGGAAUUCCCAGUGUAGCGGUGAAAUGCGUAGAGAUUGGGAAGAACACCAGCGGCGAAAGCGCGUUACUGGGUCUGCACUGACACUGAGGGACGAAAGCUAGGGGAGCGAAAGGG